rnacentral:lncRNA from 1 species
CUCUGUGUAGCUGUGGUCUUCUGAAGGCUUAUUUGGGUCACUGUGGCUGGGUCCAUUUCAUCUCCUGGAGUCGCAGUUCUCCUUCUAUGAAUUGGAAACAAUCACUAUUGGCUUCACUGUGAAAAAUGGACUCGUGAGUGGGGAUGCUGAAUGCAGGUGGGGAAAAUGCAAGAGACAGCAUAUUCUGUUCCCGGCUGGCUGUACAGUUCAUCUCCAGAUCCCAGGUUCCUCCAUUAAAACCUACCCCCUGCCCCAGGGAACAGCCUGGCAAGCUCUUCUGACCCAACAGCACUGGCAGCUGUUUGGCAGCUUCUGAAGUGGAUCCAAUCUGUUUGCAGAGAGAUGUAACUUCUCAUCUUCAACACAACUAGACUUGACGUGAGGAGCAGCAAAAAGGAGAGUUCAGCAGUAUUCAAGACCACGUUGCUUAGUGACAUUCCCAUGCAAUCCAAGGAUGAAUCGAAGGCAACUGGACCAGUAAUUUAUUACAAAGACAGGUGCUGGAGACAGCAGAGAAGAAGCAAACAAGAAAGCAAGAAAGCAAGAUGGAGAGAUGGACAUGCUUAACUACAAGAUACAAUUUGCCUGGACUACAAUUUAUUUGCACACCAGAUGUCUGUAUGGUUCAGGCUGACAGCACUGCAAAGGGUGGGAAGUUUAACGCUGCCCAGAGCCAAAUAAAAGGGAAAUAAAUAAAACAAAAACAAGACUGACUUUACAGUGUAUUUCCUCUCAACCCGCUUCACCAGUAAAACCUGGGUCUUUCCAGUGAGCAACACACCAUACACUAACACUUUCCCCUGCAAACGUGUGUUUGGAGUCUUCCUCCCAGCUUGAUCAGACCAACUAAAAAACUGAUUCUAAUUCAGUAGGCCGAGGGAGUUGUAAAAUGCACCUCUCUAAUUAGUGUAUCAGUUUGAGAGUGAAGGACUUGAGUGAAGAAAUGUAAUGAUGUCAGUUCUAUGAUAUUUGAAUAGGCUUAUUUGCAUUCCUCACCUUAUAUAUUUUUUUCUUUUUCUACCCAUCUUCCUUUCUUCACCUCUCUCCCUUCCCCAGCUAUCACUGUUUCUUUCUUGCUUCUUGCCAAGUCCAUCACAUACCUGGGGUCAACUAGACAGUUCUGCAGAUGGGUUGACAAUACUACAAAACAGUCAAUAUGAGAUGUUCCUGUCUGGCGUACAGAUGGGAGACUCAUAAACACUUGAUACACCCAGUCCCCCAUUACUGGUUUAACAGUUUUUUAUUGGAAAGCCAAAAACUUCCCCAGGCAGUGCAAGUAGUUGCCAUAUGUUCAGAAUACUAAUAGAGCCUCUAAAAAUUCACGUGUUUUUAUGCUAGAAGAAAAAGUGAGAUUCUUUUCUUCCUCGUAUGCUUUCAGUGGUUGAGAAACAAUUCAACUAUAUGGGCUGUUCUGUGGGUAUUGGCAGGCUUUGCCAAUUGGAUGUGUGUGGGUGUGAAUGAUGCUUUUUGUCUUAAGUCAUUCAUAUUGAUUGCAUUCAGAACAUUCUGCGUCAGUAUCUUCUGGCCCUGAUGAUACCUCAUCACAACUCCUCAGAGGCACCACCACUUAAUAUGCCUGAGUCAGAGCACAGACUAAGCGGUGGAAAAAGGCUACUUCGUACCUCCAGAGUUUUGCUCAGCCCUGCACAGAGCAAUGGACUUAUUUGAAGCUUGACUGUCUUCAAAUGAGAGAUAAUUAGGAGCCUCCUUUUCCCAGUAUGAUUCCAAGUGUGAGCUUAGGGCAUCUACCUCUGCAUAAAGAGAAAAUCACAGGGCAAUUCUUCCAUGUGUGGGGCCUAAAAGUGUUCUAAUAUCCCACUGGAAUAAUCAAUCUUCUUUAAUUCCUUUGGCUAACCAGAAAUGGAGACCGUCAAACAACUACAGGUGCUUUAGGGAGCAGGGAACAUGAUAAAAUAACCCUUAAUCUUUAUUUUUUCAUUAAG